AUCAUUUUCAGAUUCAGAGGGGUCAAUUCUUCACCAUGAAGACCGCUGGGUUUCUCGUGCUUGCACUACUUGUUGUCUCCGUAGCAACACGCUCACGAACUUCCCGCAAAUGGAAAGCAGAAACUCGUGACCAGGGGAAGAAUCUUCAUAGUGCCAGAAUCCUGGAAAAGGAAAGAGCUGAUCUUUUACAUGACCCAGCAUGUGAAAUGGAGUGUAUGAAUCAUUGUCAAAGUGAUUGUAAGAAGAGAUGCUGUUUCCGCAAAUAGGUGUUCAUAGAUGCCAGUCCAAUUCAUUAAUCAUAACAUAGCUGUCUAGUCUGAUAGGCAAAGCUUAAAUCAGCGAGUGUAGAAUAAACUUGCAAAUAAAGAUGGUUAUGUAUUGGCCAAA